rnacentral:ribozyme from 13 species
AAAAAAAACUUAAAAAAAGAAAAGUCUUUUCUUCACGAUUCCUCUUCUUCCUUUUGCCUUUUUUCUUCUUUC